GGUCUAUUUUUAGGGAAAAUUCAGAUAUGUUGGGUGUUUAUUUCUCACCACCUUUUUUAAUCUUUUGGGUAGGAUUGGCUAGGGUUCUUGAUUUUUUCUUGGUCACCUUUGGCUUUUUUGUUUGAGAAGAUUCUUAAAGCUUUUAGCUUGUAGUUUUCUUAAAAUGGGAUGUUUAUUGAGGAUGUGUCUUUGUUCAGAUAGAUGUUCCAAAUUUCUAUGUUUCUUGUUUGUGAUGGCUUUGAGGAUGUGGCUGAUUACUUGGGGUGAGAGUUGAAGUGUUAUGGCAAAAGUAACAUAGGCAUGCUCUGUAUUUUGGAAUGGGAGUCAGUAACUUGCCUCUUAGUUCAAGAAUUUUGCGGAGUUGUUUGUGUAUUUAUGUUAAUGACUUUUGGUUUCGGGUGUGAGAUCUGAGGUGCUACACAUUAUGUUGAGAUAUCUGGUGUGAAAAUUCUUUAUGCUGGCAUUUUGAGCUAUACACACGACCUGCCAUGAGGUUAAACGAAGAAAGAGACACAGAAAGAUGCAUGUCGAAAACCAAGAACCAUGCAUCAUGAGAGGUGUUUAUUUCAAGAAAUUGAAAUGGCAAGCUGCAAUUAAAGUUGACAAGAAACAGAUCCAUUUAGGAAUUGUGGGCUCUCAAGAAGAGGCUGCUCGACUUUAUGACAGAGGUGAAACGAAGAAAGAGACACAGAAGGAAGCACGUAGAAAACCAAGAACCAUGCAUCAUGAGAGGAGUCUAUUUCAAGAAUUUGAAAUGGCAAGCUGCCAUUAAAGUUGACAAGAAACAGAUCCAUUUAGGAACUGUAGGCUCCCAGGAAGAGGCCGCUCGAGUUUAUGACAGGUAGUCAGUGUACUUUCUCAAGUUAGCAAAGAUGACACAUUCGACUCUAAAAAUGUGCAUGGCUGCAUUCAUGUGUGGAAGAGAGCCCAACUUUGAACUUUCCGAGGAAGAAAAGCAGGAGCUCAGGAAAUUGAACUGGGACGAAUUCUUAGCCAUCACGCGCUCCGCCAUCACCAACAAGAAAAGCCAGAGACGUAGUGGGACUGGGCCGCGGAGGAAGCUUCUAGACAACGACUGUGAGGGCGAGGAGCAAGGACGCAGUGGUCCAUCAGCUUCUGAAGAUGAUAUGUUAGCACCAUAACCCCCCAUUGAUCACCUUCUUUGCCACUUUUUUUCCUUCUUUUUCUUAUAUAUACAUAUAUUUUGGCUUAAGGCUAAAGAGUUUAUUCGGUUCUUGGUAUAUAAGCGCCCCUAUUAGGGCAGAUUCCGCAAGGAAAAGAUGCAUCAUUUUGCUGUAACAUCAUCAUUGUUUAUCAUCUCAUAUCUCAGAAUUAUUAAGGUGAUUGCAAAA